UGCCAGCCGCCGCGGUAAUACGAAGGGUGCAAGCGUUAAUCGGAAUUACUGGGCGUAAAGCGCGCGUAGGUGGUUCAGCAAGUUGGAGGUGAAAUCCCCGGGCUCAACCUGGGAACUGCCUCCAAAACUACUGAGCUAGAGUACGGUAGAGGGUAGUGGAAUUUCCUGUGUAGCGGUGAAAUGCGUAGAUAUAGGAAGGAACACCAGUGGCGAAGGCGACUACCUGGACUGAUACUGACACUGAGGUGCGAAAGCGUGGGGAGCAAACAGGAUUAGAUA
rnacentral:rRNA from 1 species